rnacentral:tRNA from 3 species
GGUAAGAUGGCUGAAUAUAGGUGAUAGACUGUAAAUCUAUUUAUGAGAACUUUUCUCUCUUAUCA